AACAAACACCGUGCGUGGAUAGAAAUUUGGAAUCAAAGAGACACGUUAGUGCAAUCAGAGAAUAGACCUCACAAUCAGUCAGCAUAUCAGAAGUAUCAAGUGUGGUAUGCGGAUCGUUACCGGUUAAAGCUGAAGCCAGGUUGGACUCACGAAGAGUGGUCGGAGUUGGUGUCUGAAGACCCGGAGACUGCAGAAGGUUAUCAUACCUUCAACACGGCUGUGAGAGACACCAGAGGGGCUCAUGUUGACUACGCACCGAUGCAUGACGAAAUGGGCAGAGAGUUGCUUCUGUGCGUCAACGAUGCCAAUGUUGCACUGAGUCAUCCACCUGGUGGUGCAUUAUCUGAGAGGACUCUUAGGAGCACGAUGGAGAAGUUCAAGAAGCGGUUCCAUAAGAUGGCAGCUAUGCUUUCUUGCCAUGGUGCUCAGUCCAGUGACGUGUAUGCACCAGGUA